rnacentral:lncRNA from 1 species
AUUAUCAAACUCAGCUCACUCGGAUGGAUUUGAUACACAACAUAAAAAUGGUCAUAACUUUCUGUUCACAGCUCGGAAUUGAUAUCUGAAGAUUGAUCUGGAAAGCUGGGUCGAAGAUCUUCACGCCGGUAUAUAGAUCGUCUUCUGGAUCUUCCUAGAUCGCCGGAAAAACGCAUCUCAAGUUAGCUGCUCGCGGAUUGGAUUCUGCACAGAUAUGCCUCGGGAAAACACCUAUAACUUUCAAACCAUAACUCCAAAUAAUGAACGGCUUUCGGUUAUAUCUAGAUCUAAGGGUCAGGAACAUUCUCACCAAUUUUCAGGUCGAUCGGACUUCAAAUAAGUCGUCCACAGUCCUUUGAAGUUGCUGCGUCGAAGCAGAUUUCUGAGUUACAAGAUGAUGCAGAUGAUACUUGCGCAGAAAGAAAGCUUCGUUGUGGCCUGACCUUAACUCCGAUGACAAUGCCGUUUUCUCCUACGGCUUCAUUGCAUUGAGAUCUUUCCAGAAACACCUUGAUCACGGUUUAACUCUCUCUGAAACAGCGGGAAUCGCAUUCACAAAACCCCAUCUUGAAUCUGUGUCUUUUCCCUCAACUCUCUUCUCUUUUUCUUCUCUUCUCUUUCUUCUCUUCUCUUCUCUUAUGGCGCAGCUGUUUCUCUUCUCCAUUUUUUUUUGUUUCAUUAGUUUUGGUUUAGGUAUUUUGGUUUAGAGAAAAAGAAAUUAAAAUAUGGAUUUGGGCUUAAUGACGGUUAAAGGAAUAGGAUUAGAGUUUAAAGUUUUAAAA